rnacentral:lncRNA from 1 species
UCAGGUAUCAGUCGUCAAGUUGCGACCACAAGUAACAGUCGCCAAUCAAAUCUGGUAAGUUAAGCAUCAAAUCUUGAUUGAUGGCCACAGGUUUGUCAGUGUGAACUCAUUAAUAUGUGUUACCCUCUUGAAAUAAAGGUUUCUAUUUAUUCAUUUGAUACCAAUGUUAGAUAAUAUCUUUAUUUUUUUGUGUGUGAUGGUGUUAUGUGCUUAGGUGAAUAUGAUGUUUCCGGUGUUAAUCGUACUGUAGGUUCGAUUCCAACCGUGGCCAGGCAUUGUUUCAGGACCUGCCUGGUGUGGAUAUACACUGAUAGUAACACCAGAAAGAUCAUAGUAAAAGUUUAUUUGGUCAUACUUGAUUAUAUGAAAGCAACACACCUCCAAUUGUGUGGUGAAGGAAGGAAAGAAGCACCAUUUGCAUGUUGUAGAGAUUUUUAAAAAAUCUUUGAAUCUACAUGUAGAUCUAUGCACGUUCACUGAGAACAAAUAAAAUACCACAAAUUUUUCUUAUGACAUAGCACAGCACCAUACAAUAUACACUUCUGUCUUAUUUGUGUCUUUUCCCGAUGGAAAUAGUUAUUUUUGUUUUCCUGAGAAUCUCAAUGUUUCCCAAGUUGAUAUUGCAAUCAGUAUUGCAAUAUUGCAUGACAAUCUUGCAAUGUUGCUUGCAAAGGAAUGCUGGAUUUGACUGUAAUAUUUCCUUAGGCAGGGACUCUUCCCUCACUUUUUGGUGGUAAUGGGAUACAAUUUUCAAAUGCUGGAGGAAGAAAAAGGAAAAGGUCAACAGCAAGUGUAUCGAAACCAGGAAAGACCUACACAAAAGAUGUGGUGUGCCUGUUGCCUUCAAGCAAUGUGACAGACAUCCCAAUACCAAGAGGUGUUAUUGUUAUUGUUAUUGUAUUUUAAUUUCACAUCCCUUAAAAGGCUUUUCAGCGAAAUUUUACAUAAUUGAU